rnacentral:rRNA from 1 species
GAUGAACGCUGGCGGCGUGCCUAAUACAUGCCAGUCGAGCGAACAGACGAGGAGCUUGCUCCUCUGACGUUAGCGGCGGACGGGUGAGUAACACGUGGAUAACCUACCUAUAAGACUGGGAUAACUUCGGGAAACCGGAGCUAAUACCGGAUAAUAUAUUGAACCGCAUGGUUCAAUAGUGAAAGACGGUUUUGCUGUCACUUAUAGAUGGAUCCGCGCCGCAUUAGCUAGUUGGUAAGGUAACGGCUUACCAAGGCGACGAUGCGUAGCCGACCUGAGAGGGUGAUCGGCCACACUGGAACUGAGCCACGGUCCAGACUCCUACGGGAGGCAGCAGUAGGGAAUGUUCCGCAAUGGGCGAAAGCCUGACGGAGCAACGCCGCGUGAGUGAUGAAGGUCUUCGGAUCGUAAAACUCUGUUAUUAGGGAAGAACAAAUGUGUAAGUAACUAUGCACGUCUUGACGGUACCUAAUCAGAAAGCCACGGCUAACUACGUG